rfam:Cedecea davisae DSM 4568 genomic scaffold Scaffold0, whole genome shotgun sequence.
ACAGUGCCAUGGCCGUCUGAGCUAAGGUCUGGAAAAACCAAAAGGCGCAGCUUGCUGCGCCUUUUUU